GCAAGCCUGAUGCAGCCAUCCCGCGUGAAUGAUUAAGGUCCUAUGGAUUGUAAACUUCUUUUAUACAGGGAUAAACCUCUCCUCUUGAGGAGAGCUGAAGGUACUGUAUGAAUGAACUCCGGCUAACUCCGU
rnacentral:rRNA from 1 species